UCGUGACCGUUGUUGGGAAAACAUUAUUUAACAGUAGGUGAUGGCAGGCCUUGGACUGAAGGAGGGGGACAGAGUGCUGCUGAUAUGGACUCAGCCAUCAUCACCUACUGCACUGAAGGAGUUUGCUGAAAGCACUGGCACUGCUGUUGGUAACCAGAGUCUGGUAUCUUUGGAGAACAUGGAGAGACUACAACUUUCUUCUCACGCAGCUUCAAGUUAUGAAUGGGUUCUCUCAGGCCUGCUGACCGACAGCUCACCAAUCCACAGUUCAGAAAUGUUGGCUGAGAUGGCCAGAGUAAUGAAACCUGGUGGCAAACUUGUGCUAGAAGAGCCGGUAACAG